GGGUUAAGUCCCGUAACGAGCGCAACCCUUAUCCUUAUUUGCCAGCACUUCGGGUGGGAACUCUAAGGAGACUGCCGGUGACAAACCGGAGGAAGGUGGGGACGACGUCAAGUCAUCAUGGCCCUUACGACCAGGGCUACACACGUGCUACAAUGGUAAAUACAAAGGGACGCCAAGCCGCGAGGUGGAGCUAAUCCCAGAAAAUUUAUCGUAGUCCGGAUUGGAGUCUGCAACUCGACUCCAUGAAGUCGGAAUCGCUAGUAAUCGUGGAUCAGAAUGCCACGGUGAAUACGUUCCCGGGCCUUGUACACACCGCCCGUCACACCAUGGGAGUGGAUUGCACCAGAAGUAGUUAGUCUAACCUUCGGGGGGACGAUUACCACGGUGUGGUUCAUGACUGGGGUGAAGUCGUAACAAGGUAGCCCUAGGGGAACCUGGGGCUGGAUCACCUCCUUAAACGAA
rnacentral:rRNA from 1 species